rnacentral:rRNA from 1 species
CUUGUAUCCUUGGAGGUUUGGAAAGAGAGAAAUGCGAGGGUGUUCCAAAAGAAAUCGUCUAGGCCAACAACUGUGUUCGCAGGCAUCAAAAUAGAGGCCAAAAAUUGGGUCUUGACCGGGGCUAAACACAUGGGAUCAUUGAUGCCGCAAGAGUAG